rnacentral:lncRNA from 1 species
AUUCUUUUGAGAUCAUCAUGAGUUAAUUUUGAUGUUGAUAAAUGUGGUCAUGUUAACAACUUAUAUCUUAAUCCUCAUCCUUAUUUCCUCAUUAUGUUUUGACUCAAAUUGAAUCUUUUAAAAGAUUCUAUGUGAUAAUAGCUAUCUGAGUUUUUCCUCUGCUUGUGUGUUUCCUCUGCGUGUGGACAUGCUAUCACCAAAAUGUGUAUACCUAAAUUAAGGUGAUAUUUGAAACCACUCAAACAAAUAUUUCAUAUUUAUGGUAACUAGAUGCUAUUUUGGCAAAUUAACUCUCUAGUAAUGUUUCAAUUUUAAUCUCUUCAGAUGAUGCUCUGAGUAGACAUGUUUCAUUGCAUCGAGUCCCACAAAUAUAAAACUCGACUCUCAGAUGCCUCUAUGGAAACACACUAUGUUCUUCUAGCCUCCAGGACCCACAUUUUGGAUUCUAUCAUAAAAGUUACAAACCAAGAACUCUUUGUUCUUCAAAGAGUCAUGGACCAGCCCUCUUUCACACUUUCUGCUACUCGAAGUGCAUGAUUUGAAUAUCAAGCAGUUUUUUAACUGAUUUUUUGAGUGAGAUUCCAAGGUAUUCACGUAUAACCCUCCAUCCCAGUUGAGGAGAAAUAGCACAACUUUAACUUACUAGAGAUAUGCCAUGCCUUUUGUAAUUUAAAACCAUCUCUUGGCUGGGUUGUACACUGUGGUUCAUACACAUUAUUUCAGGUUUCCUGCUCAGAUUGUACAUGAUAAAAUAAGAUUGCUUUGCAGAAUCUUCACUGUGUCUGGAUCUUCUUUACCAGAUCGUAUUUUUUGCCCUAAGAAAGAAAUGAAGAAGCUAUUUCUGAAGCCACUGGCAGCAGAACAGCAUUCUAAGUGUCUGUGCUGUGUAUCAGGAUUAUGCUGCAUCCCCAUUGGGACACUUUGUCAUGUACACUGAUCCUGUUUUUCCUAUGGAUAGAAUUCAAAAUCCACUUUCUGAAUGUGGCAGAGACUUCUCUUCAAGGACUAAUGUUGGAAGAUGGUAAGGUCAUUGAAGUCCUAUGCACAAUAUUACUAGAGAAAUAACCCCAGACUUUUAACUGCAUGUUAAUCCUGUGCUGUGGACUUAGGUGGAGUUAUCUCAUUUAAUCUUUUAUACAACCUGUGUUUGUGGUAGUAUUAUUUCUUUCUCAACUCAGCAUAGUAGACCUUUAAAUAAGUCUGAGUUCUUUCUAUAAAUUUCAAGCUGAAAACAAAUGGUCAAGUGGAGAAUGACAUGUAGACAUCUGUCAGGUAAAAUCUGACUGCAGAUUAACAGACCUCAAAGUUAGUCUGUACAAGGUGGAGCCACAGGAGCCUAUGUUCUGUCAUCAAAAAUUUCCUUUGUGUCCAGGAGAAACUGUCCAGGGAAAUCAUCAGGGCAGUGUUUGUUGUGAGUAUAAUAUAUUUGUCCAAGUUGGAAAUAAAUAAAGUUGGUUUUAACAAAUCAACGUAACUGAUCGUGAAUUCUUCAAGUGAUGCUCUUCAGAAUGAAAAACAAGUUUCAUUUAAAACCAUGAAAAAAAUUAUUAUAAAGUCCUUGAAGAGGAACCAGGAACUUGUUCUUAAGAUGAGAGAAGCAAAGAACGUGUUAUAUGGACACAAAUUUACUGUUUAUCUUAUUUCUUUUCUUUUAGUUUUAAAUUUUUAUUUAAUGUGUGAAAACUUUUUACCUACUCACUCCUGUAUGGCUGGUAUCUAAAAAGAAUAGAAGAGAAUGGGGAAGGGGGAGGAGAUAGGGGGUUUUUUGAUGGGAAACCAGAAAAGGGGAUAAUAUUUGAAAUGU